CCUACGGGCGGCAGCAGUGGGGGAUAUUGGACAAUGGGGGGAACCCUGAUGCAGCGACGCCGCGUGGGUGAAGGAGUGCUUCGGCAUGUAAAGCCCUAUCGGCAGGGAAGAAGCAAGACGGUACCUGACUAAGAAGCCCCGGCUAACUACGAGCAAGCAGGCGCGGUAAUAGGUAGGGGGCGCGGGUUAUCCGGAGUCACUGGGUGUAAAGGGAGCGUAUGCGGGCCUGCAAGCCAGGGGGGAAAGCCCGGGGGCCAACCCCGGGACUGCCCUUGGAACUGGCCGGCUAGAGUGCGGGAGGGGCAGGCGGAAUUCCUGGUGUAGCGGUGAAAUGCGUAGAUAUCAGGAGGAACACCGGCGGCGAAGGCGGCCUGCUGGACCGCGACUGACGUUGAGGCUCGAAAGCGUGGGGAGCGAACAGGAUUAGAUACCCGUGUAGUC
rnacentral:rRNA from 1 species